rnacentral:rRNA from 1 species
CCUACGGGAGGCAGCAGUGGGGAAUAUUGCGCAAUGGGCGAAAGCCUGACGCAGCGACGCCGCGUGAGGGAUGAAGGUCUUCGGAUCGUAAACCUCUGUCAGCAGGGAAGAACGGUCACUGUGCUAAUCAGCAGUGAAUUGACGGUACCUGCAAAGGAAGCACCGGCUAACUCCGUGCCAGCAGCCGCGGUAAUACGGAGGGUGCGAGCGUUAAUCGGAAUUACUGGGCGUAAAGCGCUCGUAGGCGGUAUGUCAAGUCAAGGGUGAAAUCCCCGCGCUCAACGUGGGAACUGUCUUUGAAGCUGGCAAACUGGAGUGUGUGAGAGGAUAGUGGAAUUCCAGGUGUAGGAGUGAAAUCCGUAGAUAUCUGGAGGAACAUCAGUGGCGAAGGCGACUAUCUGGAACAUAACUGACGCUGAGGAGCGAAAGCGUGGGUAGCAAACAGGAUUAGAUACCCCGGUAGUC